AGAAAGUGCCAGGUUUUUAGGCAGAAAAUCUCAGCUCUUGGAGGGAAAUCUGGUGUGGUUAGUGACUGUAGGGCUGGCUCUCCAGAACCUUCUCCCACAGAAGAACAAAGAACUGGAAUGGAGAUGUGGGUUUCAAGAUUGAUGGGUGGUCUGGGUUUUACUGCCCAUGAUUCUCUUCUUCCUUUUUUUCUAUCUCACUCAGAAGGAAGAGGCCUUGGCAAUGAGUGAAAUUUACGGGAGCCUAAGGCUAUGGUUUUUCCAGUGGUCAUGUACGGAUGUGAGAGUUGAACUGUGAAGAAAGCUGAGAGCCGAAGAAUUGAUGCUUUUGAACUGUGGUGUUGGAGAAGACUCUUGAGAGUCCCUUGGACUGCAAGGAGAUCCAACCAGUCCGUUCUGAAGGAGAUCAACCCUGGGAUUUCUUUGGAAGGAAUGAUGCUAAAGCUGAAACUCCAGUACUUUGGCCACCUCAUGCGAAGAGUUGACUCAUUGGUAAAGACUUUCAUGCUGGGAGGGAUUGGGGCAGGAUUAGAAGGGGAUGACAGAGGAUGAGAUGGCUGGAUGGCAUCACUUGAUGGACGCGAGUCUGAGUGAACUCCGGGAGUUGGUGAUGGACAAGGAGGCCUGGGGUGCUGCGAUUCAUGGGGUCGCAAAGAGUCGGACACGACUGAGCGACUGAACUGAACUGAACUGAAUGUGUCUUCAGGGCUUCCCUGGUGGCUCAAUGGUAAAGAACCCACCUGCUAAUGCAGGAGACACAGGUUCAAUCCCUGGAUCAGGACAAUCCCCUGGAGAAGGAGAUGGCAAUCCACUUCAGUACUCUUGCCUGGGAAAUCUCAUGGGCAGAGCAGACUGGAGGGCUGCAGUCCAUGGAGUCACAAAGAGUCGGACAUGAAUCAGGGACUAAACAAACAAACAAUGUGGCUUCAACCCUAAAAGGUGGUGUUGUGCCCAAGGUUCUCUGAUGUCCUGCCACCUCACAGAGCCCUGGGAGGGUGCCCCAGACCAUCCGCCUCCACACCUGUUCCGCCAGUGCCAGCUCCCUACGUGCUCUUGGGCAAGUCACUGAACUUCUCUGAGUCUUGACUCCCUCAGCCGUCAGAGGGAGACGAUACUCCUACAAGGCCCUCAGUGCUACUUUGAGGAUCAAGAUGAUGAGCGUGGAAGUCUUUAAUUUACUCUCAAGUGUGAUCAGUAUGAAUUACUAUUUAUCCUGGGACGCCUUCCUUCCUUUGGGCCCUGCUACAUGAACCAAGGUGUAAAUGCUCCUGCCUUUCAUCCCUCCCAGUUGAGAUGGCCUCUAAACUCCAUCACCAAGUUCCUCGAUGCAGAUGGAAAACACCCUGGAGUUUUUGCAUCCGGCAGUGAAUAUCUCACCUUUUAACCAUACUUCAUCACUGACGGGGAGAACUUUCUUCCAAACCUGGCCCUCUGCCCAGCGGGAUCAAGAGCCAGCGUGUGAUUGCCGCAAGAUGGAGUUCUGUAAUGGAUUAACAGGAGAGUUGCAUUUAAUAAAAGCCAAAGAACUUCUGAACACACAUGUUGGAGGAGAAAAGAAGCAAGUUAGAACUCAGCAACUGAACAGACACAGGGCAUGGGGUGGGCGUUGGGGAGAAGA
ensembl:lncRNA